CUACUACCGAUUGAAUGGCUCAGUGAGGCUUUCGGACCGGCCCAGAGAGAGUGGCAACACUCACUCAGGGCUGGAAAGUUGUACAAACUUGGUCAUUUAGAGGAGGUAAAAGUCGUAACAAGGUU
rnacentral:rRNA from 1 species